AUGUGUAACUCCAACGUCAAGUCCGCCGGCGUCGCCCAGAUCGACGGCCGCCCGGUCCUGCAGCCGGGCGGCAACCGCGUCGCGGCGCCGGAAGGCGCCAAGCCGCUCAAGAAGUCCCUGCAGAAGUCGCUCUCGAUGCCUGCUGCGUACGACAAUGCCGCUGCCGCCGCCGCCAUCACCUGCACGGCAGCGCCCAAGAACACCGGCGCGGCGGCCGCGACGCCUUACCUACUGCCGCCUACUUCGGCAAAGGCGGCGGGAGCCAAGGCGGCGGGCGCCAGGGCGGCGGCGUCCACGGGCGCGGACAAGAACAGGAAGCAGGCGGGCAAGAAGAGCGGCGCCGUGCUGCCGGUGGUGACGUUCGCGGCGCUGGAGGCGUUCGAGCUGGCCGGCCCCGCCGGGAGCAUCGCGGCGGCGCAGCGGGAGCACGUGACGCAGGCGCAGGCGCAGCGCAAGAUGCGGAUCGCGCACUACGGCCGCACCGCCUCCUUCUCCCGGGUGGAGGGCAAGGUCGGGGCCACCGCCACCGCCACCGCGACAGCGCCCGCCACGCCCGCCGCUGCACCGGAGGAGAAGCGCUGCAGCUUCAUCACGGCGUACUCGGACCCCGUGUACGUCGCGUACCACGACGAGGAGUGGGGCGUGCCGGUGCACGAGGACGAGCUGCUGUUCGAGAUGCUGACGCUGUCCGGCGUGCAGGUCGGGGCCGACUGGGCUUCCAUCCUCAGGAGGAGACACAUCUACAGGGAGGCAUUCUCCGGGUUCGACGUGGACGCGGUCGCCAAGUACACGGAGAAGCAGAUGGCCUCCGUGAGCGCCGGGUACGGGCUGGACUUGGGCACCAUCCGAGGCGCCGUCAACAACGCCUGCCGCAUGCUCGAGGUGAGGAGGGACUUCGGGUCGUUUGGCAAGUACGUGUGGGGGUUCGUGAACCAGAAGGCGCUGUCGCCGGGGUACAAAUACAGCCGGAAGAUCCCGGUGAAGACGUCCAAGUCGGAGUCCAUCAGCAAGGACAUGGUCCGGCGGGGCUUCCGGUUCGUCGGCCCCACCGUGCUCCACUCCUUCAUGCAGGCCGUCGGGCUCACCAACGACCACCUCGUCUCCUGCCCGCGCCACCGCGUCUGCUCCUCUUCUUCCUCCACCUCCUCCGUCUAA
rnacentral:rRNA from 1 species